UCCCAGCCCUAAACUAUGCGGACUAGACAAUGCAUGGUCCUCGAGGUUAUGCACUGUCAUGAAGGGAAACCGUUAAGUCCGCCGCCUGGGAAGUAUAGCCGCAAGGCAGAAACUUAAUGGAAUAGGCGGGGGAGCACUACAAGGGGUGUGCGCUGCGGUUUAAUUGGAUUCAACCCCAGACAUAUUACCAGGGGAGACGGCAAGAUGAAGGCCAGUCUGAAGGGCUUG
rnacentral:rRNA from 1 species